rnacentral:rRNA from 1 species
GACGUAGGGCGCGAGCGUUGUCCGGAUUUAUUGGGCGUAAAGAGCUUGUAGGCGGUUUGUCGCGUCUGCUGUGAAAUCUCAAGGCUCAACCUUGAGCUUGCAGUGGGUACGGGCAGACUAGAGUGUGGUAGGGGAGACUGGAAUUCCUGGUGUAGCGGUGAAAUGCGCAGAUAUCGGGAGGAACACCGAUGGCGAAGGCAGGUCUCUGGGCCACUACUGACGCUGAGAAGCGAAAGCAUGGGGAGCGAACAGG